CACUUGGCACCCAGAGGUUAGAGAGCAAUUACUCACGGUAUACAUGGAGCUCUCCAAAUAUAUGUUUGUUUUCAUAAUCUUUUAGUAUGACUUGUAGGACGUACUUUCCUGUGUCGUUCAGGGUGACGUUCUGGAGUAGGAGGGAUCCAUUGGGGUAUAUUGUCUCUCUACCGCUGUAUGCAGGCCCAUAGGUAUCUGUUUGAGUGUCUAUUC